rnacentral:rRNA from 1 species
AGACCCGAAACCCGGUGAUCUAGCCAUGGGCAGGUUGAAGGUUGGGUAACACUAACUGGAGGACCGAACCGACUAAUGUUGAAAAAUUAGCGGAUGACCUGUGGCUGGGGGUGAAAGGCCAAUCAAACCGGGAGAUAGCUGGUUCUCCCCGAAAGCUAUUUAGGUAGCGCCUCGUGAAUUCAUCUCCGGGGGUAGAGCACUGUUUCGGCUAGGGGGCCAUCCCGGCUUACCAACCCGAUGCAAACUGCGAAUACCGGAGAAUGUUAUCACGGGAGACACACGGCGGGUGCUAACGUCCGUCGUGAAGAGGGAAACAACCCAGACCGCCAGCUAAGGUCCCAAAGUCAUGGUUAAGUGGGAAACGAUGUGGGAAGGCCCAGACAGCCAGGAUGUUGGCUUAGAAGCAGCCAUCAUUUAAAGAAAGCGUAAUAGCUCACUGGUCGAGUCGGCCUGCGCGGAAGAUGUAACGGGGCUAAACCAUGCACCGAAGCUGCGGCAGCGACACUCAGGUGUCGUUGGGUAGGGGAGCGUUCUGUAAGCCUGCGAAGGUGGCCUGUGAGGGUUGCUGGAGGUAUCAGAAGUGCGAAUGCUGACAUAAGUAACGAUAAAGCGGGUGAAAAGCCCGCUCGCCGGAAGACCAAGGGUUCCUGUCCAACGUUAAUCGGGGCAGGGUGAGUCGACCCCUAAGGCGAGGCCGAAAGGCGUAGUCGAUGGGAAACGGGUUAAUAUUCCCGUACUUGGUGUUACUGCGAAGGGGGGACGGAGAAGGCUAUGUUGGCCGGGCGACGGUUGUCCCGGUUUAAGCGUGUAGGUGUGUGUUCCAGGUAAAUCCGGUUCACUUUAACACUGAGGCGUGACGACGAGGCACUACGGUGCUGAAGCAACAAAUGCCCUGCUUCCAGGAAAAGCCUCUAAGCAUCAGGUAACAUCAAAUCGUACCCCAAACCGACACAGGUGGUCAGGUAGAGAAUACCAAGGCGCUUGAGAGAACUCGGGUGAAGGAACUAGGCAAAAUGGUGCCGUAACUUCGGGAGAAGGCACGCUGACACGUAGGUGAAGUGAUUUACUCAUGGAGCUGAAGUCAGUCGAAGAUACCAGCUGGCUGCAACUGUUUAUUAAAAACACAGCACUGUGCAAACACGAAAGUGGACGUAUACGGUGUGACGCCUGCCCGGUGCCGGAAGGUUAAUUGAUGGGGUCAGCGCAAGCGAAGCUCCUGAUCGAAGCCCCGGUAAACGGCGGCCGUAACUAUAACGGUCCUAAGGUAGCGAAAUUCCUUGUCGGGUAAGUUCCGACCUGCACGAAUGGCGUAAUGAUGGCCAGGCUGUCUCCACCCGAGACUCAGUGAAAUUGAACUCGCUGUGAAGAUGCAGUGUACCCGCGGCAAGACGGAAAGACCCCGUGAACCUUUACUAUAGCUUGACACUGAACAUUGAGCCUUGAUGUGUAGGAUAGGUGGGAGGCUUUGAAGUGUGGACGCCAGUCUGCAUGGAGCCGGCCUUGAAAUACCACCCUUUAAUGUUUGAUGUUCUAACGUGGACCCGUGAUCCGGGUUGCGGACAGUGUCUGGUGGGUAGUUUGACUGGGGCGGUCUCCUCCUAAAGAGUAACGGAGGAGCACGAAGGUUGGCUAAUCCUGGUCGGACAUCAGGAGGUUAGUGCAAUGGCAUAAGCCAGCUUGACUGCGAGCGUGACGGCGCGAGCAGGUGCGAAAGCAGGUCAUAGUGAUCCGGUGGUUCUGAAUGGAAGGGCCAUCGCUCAACGGAUAAAAGGUACUCCGGGGAUAACAGGCUGAUACCGCCCAAGAGUUCAUAUCGACGGCGGUGUUUGGCACCUCGAUGUCGGCUCAUCACAUCCUGGGGCUGAAGUAGGUCCCAAGGGUAUGGCUGUUCGCCAUUUAAAGUGGUACGCGAGCUGGGUUUAGAACGUCGUGAGACAGUUCGGUCCCUAUCUGCCGUGGGCGCUGGAGAACUGAGGGGGGCUGCUCCUAGUACGAGAGGACCGGAGUGGACGCAUCACUGGUGUUCGGGUUGUCAUGCCAAUGGCACUGCCCGGUAGCUAAAUGCGGAAGAGAUAAGUGCUGAAAGCAUCUAAGCACGAAACUUGCCCCGAGAUGAGUUCUCCCUGAGACUUAGAGUCUCCUGAAGGAACGUUGAAGACGACGACGUUGAUAGGCCGGGUGUGUAAGCGCAGCGAUGCGUUGAGCUAACCGGUACUAAUGAAC